CAAGACCUGCAUUUAUGUUUGCAACCGGUUAGUUCAUCACUUUGAGUAUAAUGACAAGGAAGAUAUGCUAUCCAUACUCAGAUUUUACUGGCCAUGGCAAAUGGCCUGAACAUUAGUUCUUGGUCAGUUUAUCACCAAAUUGAUAUGAUAGCUUGAAACCAUCUACAUCUUGAUGCUUUAUGAGCAGUAGGAUGUUAGGCUGCACACUAUCAAGAAGAAGAGAACAGAAUGAAAAUUGCUAGGAAGCAAUAAAGAUGAAAAUUCCAGCUCCCCAUCCUUCCAAAGUGGAUUGACUUCUGAUUUCUGAUGUUAAAAUAUAUCACUAGUGCGUUUAUAUACUACUGCUUCACAGUUAUAACAUUGACUGUAUUUCAGUUGAGGAAUCAUUUGUUUACGCUUACAUAAUGUUGCAUAUGAGAAAAUUAUGAAGAUAAUAAAGAUGGACUGGUAUA